rnacentral:rRNA from 1 species
GAUGAACGCUGGCGGCGUGCCUAAUACAUGCAAGUCGAGCGAACAGACGAGGAGCUUGCUCCUCUGACGUUAGCGGCGGACGGGUGAGUAACACGUGGAUAACCUACCUAUAAGACUGGGAUAACUUCGGGAAACCGGAGCUAAUACCGGAUAAUAUAUUGAACCGCAUGGUUCAAUAGUGAAAGACGGUUUUGCUGUCACUUAUAGAUGGAUCCGCGCCGCAUUAGCUAGUUGGUAAGGUAACGGCUUACCAAGGCAACGAUGCGUAGCCGACCUGAGAGGGUGAUCGGCCAAACUGGAACUGAGACACGGUCCAGACUCCUCGGGAGGCAGCAGUAGGGAAUCUUCCGCAAUGGGCGAAAGCCUGACGGAGCAACGCCGCGUGAGUGAUGAAGGUCUUCGGAUCGUAAAACUCUGUUAUUAGGGAAGAACAAAUGUGUAAGUAACUAUGCACGUCUUGACGGUACCUAAUCAGAAAGCCACGGCUAACUACGUG